AGUGAACGCUGGCGGUAGGCCUAACACAUGCAAGUCGAACGGCAGCACAGUAAGAGCUUGCUCUUACGGGUGGCGAGUGGCGGACGGGUGAGGAAUACAUCGGAAUCUACUUUUUCGUGGGGGAUAACGUAGGGAAACUUACGCUAAUACCGCAUACGACCUACGGGUGAAAGCAGGGGAUCUUCGGACCUUGCGCGAUUGAAUGAGCCGAUGUCGGAUUAGCUAGUUGGCGGGGUAAAGGCCCACCAAGGCGACGAUCCGUAGCUGGUCUGAGAGGAUGAUCAGCCACACUGGAACUGAGACACGGUCCAGACUCCUACGGGGGGCAGCAGUGGGGAAUAUUGGACAAUGGGCGCAAGCCUGAUCCAGCCAUACCGCGUGAGUGAAGAAGGCCUUCGGGUUGUAAAGCCCUUUUGUUGGGAAAGAAAAGCAGCAGGUUAAUACCCCGCUGUUCUGACGGUACCCAAAGAAUAAGCACCGGCUAACUUCGUG
rnacentral:rRNA from 1 species